rnacentral:lncRNA from 1 species
CUGCGCCAGGUCCCACAGAUAGAGAGGUGCCGUCAAAGGGGUAGAGGAGUUGGAAACGGUGCCUUUUGGGUCGCCCUUUCAUAUUCAAGUUCCUGAAAGUCCCUCUAACACUAGAGAAGGGAGGAAGGGGGCUGAAUUCACAAGCCCGUGGUCCACACCCAGGCCCAGAUAAUUCUGUUCCAACCCUCUUCAUGCCUUCCUGGUCUCCGGCUCAGUUUCCCCUCACCCGAACGUGGAAAGCCUGGAAACAAAGCCAGCUAACCACCAAGGACAGUCGAUUCUGAAUACUUCCUCUCAAUUGAUG